rnacentral:rRNA from 1 species
GCAGAGUUUGAUCCUGGCUCAGAUUGAACGCUGGCGGCAGGCUUAACACAUGCAAGUCGAGCGGUAACAGGAGAAGCUUGCUUCUUGCUGACGAGCGGCGGACGGGUGAGUAAUACUUAGGAAUCUGCCCAGUAGUGGGGGAUAGCUCGGGGAAACUCGAAUUAAUACCGCAUACACCCUACGGGGAAAAGGGGGCGCUUGCGCUCUCGCUAUUGGAUGAGCCUAAGUCGGAUUAGCUAGUUGGUGGGGUAAAGGCCUACCAAGGCGACGAUCUGUAGCUGGUCUGAGAGGAUGAUCAGCCACACCGGGACUGAGACACGGCCCGGACUCCUACGGGAGGCAGCAGUGGGGAAUAUUGGACAAUGGGGGCAACCCUGAUCCAGCCAUGCCGCGUGUGUGAAGAAGGCCUUUUGGUUGUAAAGCACUUUAAGCAGUGAAGAAGACUCUAUGGUUAAUACCCAUAGACGAUGACAUUAGCUGCAGAAUAAGCACCGGCUAACUCUGUGCCAGCAGCCGCGGUAAUACAGAGGGUGCAAGCGUUAAUCGGAAUUACUGGGCGUAAAGCGAGCGUAGGUGGCUUGAUAAGUCAGAUGUGAAAUCCCCGGGCUUAACCUGGGAACUGCAUCUGAUACUGUUAGGCUAGAGUAGGUGAGAGGGAGGUAGAAUUUCAGGUGUAGCGGUGAAAUGCGUAGAGAUCUGAAGGAAUACCGAUGGCGAARGCAGCCUCCUGGCAUCAUACUGACACUGAGGUUCGAAAGCGUGGGUAGCAAACAGGAUUAGAUACCCUGGUAGUCCACGCCGUAAACGAUGUCUACUAGCCGUUGGGGAACUUGAUUCCUUAGUGACGCAGCUAACGCAAUAAGUAGACCGCCUGGGGAGUACGGCCGCAAGGUUAAAACUCAAAUGAAUUGACGGGGGCCCGCACAAGCGGUGGAGCAUGUGGUUUAAUUCGAUGCAACGCGAAGAACCUUACCUGGUCUUGACAUAUCUAGAAUCCUGCAGAGAUGCGGGAGUGCCUUCGGGAAUUAGAAUACAGGUGCUGCAUGGCUGUCGUCAGCUCGUGUCGUGAGAUGUUGGGUUAAGUCCCGCAACGAGCGCAACCCUUUUCCUUAGUUACCAGCGGUUUGGCCGGGGACUCUAAGGAUACUGCCAGUGACAAACUGGAGGAAGGCGGGGACGACGUCAAGUCAUCAUGGCCCUUACGACCAGGGCUACACACGUGCUACAAUGGUAGGUACAGAGGGCAGCUACACAGCGAUGUGAUGCGAAUCUCAAAAAGCCUAUCGUAGUCCAGAUUGGAGUCUGCAACUCGACUCCAUGAAGUCGGAAUCGCUAGUAAUCGCGGAUCAGAAUGCCGCGGUGAAUACGUUCCCGGGCCUUGUACACACCGCCCGUCACACCAUGGGAGUUGAUUGCACCAGAAGUGGGUAGCCUAACUUUUAGAGGGCGCUCACCACGGUGUGGUCGAUGACUGGGGUGAAGUCGUAACAA